rnacentral:rRNA from 1 species
GAUGAACGCUGGCGGCGUGCCUAACACAUGCAAGUCGAGCGAUUCUCUUCGGAGAAGAGCGGCGGACGGGUGAGUAACGCGUGGGUAACCUGCCCUGUACACACGGAUAACAUACCGAAAGGUAUGCUAAUACGAGAUAACAUAAGAAAAUCGCAUGUUUUUCUUAUCAAAGCUCCGGCGGUACAGGAUGGACCCGCGUCUGAUUAGCUAGUUGGUGAGGUAAUGGCUCACCAAGGCGACGAUCAGUAGCCGACCUGAGAGGGUGUACGGCCACACUGGGACUGAGACACGGCCCAGACUCCUACGGGGGGCAGCAGUAGGGAAUUUUCGGCAAUGGGCGAAAGCCUGACCGAGCGACGCCGCGUGAGGGACGAAGGCCUUCGGGUUGUAAACCUCUGUCUGGGGGAUGAGAACGGACGGUACCCCGGAGGAAGCCCCGGCUAACUAACGUG